rnacentral:rRNA from 1 species
CCCGCUGAACUUAAGCAUAUCAAUAAGCGGAGGAAAAGAAACUAACAAGGAUUCCCCUAGUAACUGCGAGUGAAGCGGGAAAAGCUCAAAUUUAAAAUCUGGUAGUCUUUGGCUGCCCGAGUUGUAAUCUAGAGAAGCGUUAUCCGCGCUGGACCGUGUAUAAGUCUCCUGGAAUGGAGCGUCAUAGAGGGUGAGAAUCCCGUCUUUGACACGGACUACCAGGGCUUUGUGAUGCGCUCUCAAAGAGUCGAGUUGUUUGGGAAUGCAGCUCUAAAUGGGUGGUAAAUUCCAUCUAAAGCUAAAUAUUGGCGAGAGACCGAUAGCGAACAAGUACCGUGAGGGAAAGAUGAAAAGCACUUUGGAAAGAGAGUUAAACAGUAUGUGAAAUUGUUGAAAGGGAAACGAUGGAGGUCAGUCGUGUCUGUGGGAUUCAGCCGUCUCUGGUGGCGGUGUACUUCCCACAGACGGGUCAACAUCAGUUUUGGCUGGCGGAUAAAGGCAGGAGGAAGGUGGCACCCCCGGGUGUGUUAUAGCCUCUUGUUGCAUACGCUGGCCGAGACUGAGGAAUGCAGCUCGCCUUUAUGGCCGGGGUUCGCCCACGUUCGAGCUUAGGAUGUUGACAUAAUGGCCUUCAACGACCCGUCUUGAAACACGG